GGCAGACUUGAGUGAGGACGUUUAGGAUAAGUGUGCAAAAUAAGUAUGCUUGGGAUUUAGUGUGCAAACCUUUAGGAUGUGCUUGAAGUGGGAACAUUCAGGGUGAGUGUGUAAAGUUGGAACAUUUAGGAUGAGUCUGUAAGAUGAGUGUGUGUAUGAGUAAGCUGAGAACAUUGAGGAUGAGAAGCAUAUAUGGAUGAGUAUGCUAAGUGAAGCAUAUAGGAUGAGUAUGUAAAGUGAAGCAUAUAGGAUGAGUAUGUAAAGUGAAGCAUAUAGGAUGAGUAUGUAAAGUGAAGCAUAUAGGAUGAGUAUGCUAAGUGAAGCAUAUAGGAUGAGUAUGCUAAGUGAAGAGGUCAGGGUGAGUAUGCUAAGUGAAGAGGUUAGGGUGAGUGUGUAAGAUGAGUAUGUGUAUGAGUAUGCUAAGUGAAGAGGUUAGGGUGAGUAUGCUAAGUGAAGAGGUUAGGGUGAGUGUGUAAGAUGAGUAUGUGUAUGAGUAUGCUAAGUGAAGAAGUCAGUGUGAGUGUGUAAGAUGAGUAUGUGUAUGAGUAUGCUAAGUGAAGAGGUUAGGGUGAGUAUGCUAAGUGAAGAGGUUAGGGUGAGUAUGCUAAGUGAAGAAGUCAGGGUGAGUGUGUAAGAUGAGUAUGUGUAUGAGUAUGCUAAGUGAAGAAGUCAGGGUGAGUGUGUAAGAUGAGUAUGUGUAUGAGUAUGCUAAGUGAAGAAGUCAGGGUGAGUGUGUAAGAUGAGUAUGUGUAUGAGUAUGCUAAGUGAAGAGGUUAGGGUGAGUGUGUAAGAUGAGUAUGUGUAUGAGUAUGCUAAGUGAAGAGGUCAGGGUGAGUAUGCUAAGUGAAGAGGUUAGGGUGAGUAUGCUAAGUGAAGAGGUUAGGGUGAGUGUGUAAGAUGAGUAUGUGUAUGAGUAUGCUAAGUGAAGAGGUCAGGGUGAGUAUGCUAAGUGAAGAGGUCAGGGUGAGUGUGUAAGAUGAGUAUGUGUAUGAGUAUGCUAAGUGAAGAGGUUAGGGUGAGUGUAUAAGAUGAGUAUGUGUGUGAGUAUGCUAAGUGAAGAGGUUAGGGUGAGUGUGUAAGAUGAGU